UAAAACAUUGUAUAUCAUGUGUCAUCAACCAACAAAACAUUCUAUAGGUGUCUUCCUGUAUUUUACCAUGACCAUCCACUAAAACAUUGUAUAUUAUGUGUCAUCAACCAACAAAACACUCUAUAGGUGUCAUCCUGUAUUGUACCAUGACCAUCCACUAAAACAUUGUAUAUCCUAU